rnacentral:misc_RNA from 1 species
GUUUCAGAAUCGCCACCAUAGCUCCCUUUCCUUCGGGAACAGCCUCCUGCAUGUACUUU